rnacentral:misc_RNA from 1 species
GGUUUCUUAGCACGAAGAUCUCGAUGUCUAAGAAACC